GCCUUGUUGGAGGAUGUGUGCCACUGUGAGCUUGGGCUUUAAAACCCUCCUCCUAGCUGCCUGGAAGCACUCUUCUCCUAGUGGCCUUCAUAUGAAGAUGUAGGACUCUCAGCUCCUCUCAAUCCAAUCCUUCCAACAAGGCUCCCCAACUUCCAUCACAUCUUGAGCACCCUCCAUGGCGAAGACCAAGACUUCAACCUGCAAGGCUUUGAGGGACAUCUCAUAUGAAAACCAAUGCAUGCAGUUAAUGGGGGCUCUCAGGGAACCAAGGACAGACCAACAUAAGGAGACAAAGUCCAACUUGGUGAGCAAUGAGUUUUCUCGGAGUUACUUGCAGGAGUAUGGGUAAGACGUUAUUUACAGUAACGGAAAACACAAAGGCAAAACAUCACCAAAAGCCACCCCAGCUUGGGUAAUACUCCAUGACAGCUAGGAACCAUGGGCACAGGGUAAUACUUGCGUGCAGUUCAAUAGGUAGGAAAGUGGGGAUUUUUUGUCCGUUUGUUUUUGGGUUUGUUUUUUGUUUUGUUUUGCUUUUUUUUUUUUUGUCAGCAUAUUUGAUCUGAGCCUCUUCCAGACUACUCAGCUUCUUCGAGUGUCUUUCAGGCAUCCUUAUGGCUUAGAUGAGCUUGAGGAGGGAGAAGUCUUGUGAAUGUGGUAGAUUUUUGAGACUUCCUGAAUCUUAAGGAUCUCCCCUGCAGGAGAGGAUGCUUUCCCUCUUUGUAGCAUAUCCUGAGCCUCAAGGGGCUUCCCUCCAAGGUGGAAGAUUUUCUCUCCGAGGAAGCGUAAUGGUGAUACAGGCAGCGGUCCUCAACCACACCCUCUCACCACCAUGUUGUUCUGCCCAAGGACAUGGACACACAUUCUAAAACAAUCUAAACCCUUCCUUCCCUUAACCAUUUCCUCCUUCUAAGUCACAAAAUAGAAUGAAGUGUACAUGAGGCAUGGCCAGUGGAGAAGACGGCUGGCGGAGGCUCCAUUAUCAAAGCUCUGAACUUCCCACGUCCCUUCUACUUGGCGUGAAUACUAUCAGGACGGCUGUGUUCACCUGAAGCUAACCAAGAAGAGUACCUGUGUAGUCAGCACCAUCCGGAACUCUCUGCCUAAGCCUGGCCCCCUGGGAGGGGCCAGGACCCCACAUGCCUCUCCCAGGAAUUAUUCCUAACGACUUGCAGGCUGCUGUUGGCGAGCAGAGGAAGCAUCAUCACCCUGGAGCCCUCUCUCCACAUGACUCUGGAGGAGUUCUUUCACCUUCUGGCCUGGUUCUCUCCUCUGUAAGUUGAGUCAUAGGUUUGCCCGCCUGCCUAGGCCUUUCCUGAAUGGAGUUGGUGCCCUCCGUGGACUUCAGCUUCCCUGACCUUGUGCUUUGAGCUUGCCCAGCUUUCAUUAAACCUCACAUUCCGA